GUCGAGAAUCAUUCGCAAUGGGCGAAAGCCUGACGGUGCGACGCCGCGUGGAGGAUGAAGGCCCUAGGGUCGUAAACUCCUGUCAUCAGGGAGUAAAGACUCGUGUAGUCACUGACACGGGUCCUGAUAGUACCUGAAGAGGAAGGGACGGCAAACUUCGUGCCAGCAGCCGCGGUAAUACGAAGGUCCCAAGCGUUGUUCGGAUUUACUGGGCGUAAAGAGUCUGUAGGCGGCGGGGUAAGUCAGAUGUGAAAUCCCGGGGCUCAACCCCGGAACUGCAUCCGAUACUGCCUUGCUAGAGUAUUGGAGGGGAGUCUGGAAUUCUCGGUGUAGCAGUGAAAUGCGUAGAUAUCGAGAGGAACACUAGUGGCGAAGGCGAGACUCUGGACAGUUACUGACACUGAGGCACGAAGGCCAGGGGAGCGAACGGGAUUAGAAACCCUGGUAGUCC
rnacentral:rRNA from 1 species